GUGUGAGUGGUUUAUGAGCAUAGGCAUGGUAUAAGUUUGCACCAUCCUAUUCAUGUUGGUCUGUUAUGUGGAGAAGUAGUGACUGCAACCGUUCCAGCAGCAUUUCCUCAUUCCCGCGCUUGUACUGGCACACCACCAGAGGUGAUCAUUAAUAGCAGGUAUCCAUUGGCGAAGCUUCAACUAGGCUUUCUUCUUGCUAGCUCUCAUCAAGCGUUUUCUCACUCCCAUGACAUAGAACCACACAUCAUACUCAUGGAGGAGGUGGAUGUAAUUUUUGGCCAUUGUUUUCCUGAUGCCCUGGUGACAGUCUGUAGCAAUCGGCUUUAUCUCAAACUCUUCAAGCAAUCUACUGAGACAGUUUUUGAAAGCACGCUUCUCCAUAGCAGCUGGUGAGACACUUUCAGAUUCCUGAAAAUCUAAUAUUCUGCUAGUGGCUACUACAAGAAAUGUAUGCAGACAGUACUUUGAA